rnacentral:rRNA from 1 species
UAGUCGUAACAAGGUUUCCGUAGGUGAACCUGCGGAAGGAUCAUUAUUGAAUAACUGGUGUCUUCGGACCCAAACACCUCAUAAUUCCUUCUUAAUACCUGUGAACUGUUUAGAGACGUGUGAUAUGUGCUUGGACUUGUCCGAGCAUGUAUUUAUCGACUCGAAAUUUUUAUAUUAAAAACAACGUCUUAGUAUGUAUCAAAUUUAAAAUUCAAUCCAAGCAAUUGGGGAGAACUCAUAACAAAAUACAACUUUUAGCAACGGAUCUCUUGGCUCUCGCAUCGAUGAAGAACGCAGCGAAAUGCGAUAAGUAAUGUGACUUGCAAUUUUUUAGUGACCCAUCGAAUUUUUGAACGCACCAUGCACCGUUUGGUAUUCCGAACGGUAUGCCUGUUUGAGUGUCUUGACAUUCUCAAUCCCUCUGUAUUUUAUUAUGCAUGAUGGUGUAUUGGUCUUGAACGUUUUGCCGGUUUCUCGCGCAUUUUAUUAUGCAAACAGAGACUGGCUCGUUUUAAAGUGAUUAGCUGGUAAGCAUUCAUAUGCAAUUUCCCACUUAGCACCUGAGCGUAAUAAUUAUUUCGUUCACGGUCAGGGUAUAUUGCUCGGAUCAUAAACCGCUUCUAACCCGUUAGUGUGUCGGAGCAGCAAUGCUUGUUGAUGCACAACACCCACUUUUGUAAAUCAGACCUCAAAUCAGGUAGGACUACCCGCUGAACUUAAGCAUAUCAAUAAGCGGAGGAAAAGAAACUAACAAGGAUUCCCCUAGUAACGGCGAGUGAAGCGGGAAGAGCCCAAAUUUUGAAUCUCACAGUCUCAGACGCGUGCGAAUUGUAAUCUAGAGAAGUGUUUUCCGUGCCGGCCUCCGUACAAGUCCCUUGGAAUAGGGCGUCGUAGAGGGUGAGAAUCCCGUACUUGACGGAGACUACCGGUGCUAUGUGAUACAUUUUCAAAGAGUCGAGUUGUUUGGGAAUGCAGCUCAAAACGUGUGGUAAAUUCCAUAUAAAGCUAAAUAUUGGCGAGAGACCGAUAGCGAACAAGUACCGUGAGGGAAAGAUGAAAAGCACUUUGAAAAGAGAGUGAAAUAGUAUGUGAAAUUGCUAAAAGGGAAACGCUUGAAGUCAGUCGCGCCGGCCGGAAUUCAGCCUUUGGGUGUAUUUUCUGGUUGGCGGGUCAGCAUCAGUUUCGUUUGAGGUACAAGGGCAGUCGGAAUGUAGCUCCUCGGAGUGUUAUAGCCUUCUGUCGUAUGCCUCGGACGGGACUGAGGAACGCAGCAUGCCCGCAAGGGUCGGUCUUCGGACACGUUACAUGCUUAGGAUGCUGGCAAAAUGGCUUUAAACGACC